rnacentral:tRNA from 1 species
GGGUGUUUAGCUCAGUUGGCAGAGCGCUAACUUCGCAGUAUAUUAAGAUUGUUAGAGGCCCCGGGUUCGAUUCCCUGAACAUCCA